CUUACAAUGAGAGUAACCUUCGGGCUUUCUUAUAUAGCAAAAUAAUAUUAUAGUUGAAGAAGAUUUGGAAGUUGUACCUUUUGUAUCAGGGGAAUUUCAAGGUAUAAUAAAAAUUUAAUCGAAUAAAAUGGAUCUUUUUUGUUAAGUUUCUAGUUGUAUUUAGAGUCUAUAAGUAAAUAAGAGGUGAAAAGUGUGCGACGUUUUUGGUAUCUAAUUGUUUUUAAAAAUAAAGGGUUAAGCUUUUAUUUAUCUAAAAUAUAAAUACUUUAAAAAGAACUAGGCUUUAGAUUAGCUACGUUAAUAGAUUGUUUUAAGUAGGUUUGAAAAGGUUUUAGUAUUAGAGUUAAAUAGACAAUAUUUAAGUAUUUUUUUAUGUAUAAAUAAUGAAUUUAUUUAAUAGAAAGUGAAAAUUUAAAAUAACUCGCGCAGGCCAGAAAGUUUAACAAAAACAUUUCUAUUUGUUUAAAUAAAAGUAAAACCUGCCCGGUGAAGGUUAAACGGCUGCGGUAUUUUGACUGUGCUAAGGUAGCAUAAUCACUUGUUAUUUAAUUGAUAACUGGAAUGAAAGGUUAAACUGGUUUAUUUAGUUUGUAAAUUUUAUUAGUAGUUUUAAGUUAAGGUAAUAAUACCUUAAUAAUUUAGGGGACGAUAAGACCCUAAAAUCUUCAUAAAUAAUAUUUUUAUUAAUUAUAAAGUUAAAUUUGUUUGACUGGGGCGGUAAUAAUAAUUAAACUGUUUUUAUAAUGAUGGGUCUUUUAUAUAAAGAAAUAACGGAUAAGUUACUUUAGGGAUAACAGUGCGAUAUAAUUAAAGAGAUCCUAUCGAUAAAUAUGAUUGCAACCUCGAUGUU
rnacentral:rRNA from 1 species